rnacentral:rRNA from 1 species
UACGGAGGUUCCAAGCGUUGUUCGGAUUUACUGGGCGUAAAGGGAGCACAGGCGGAAAGGUCAGUCUGAAGUGGAAUCCCGGGGCACAACCUCGGAAGUGCUUUGGAUACUGCCAUUCUUGAGUCCAUGAGAGGAAAGCGGAAUUCAGGGUGUAGCGGUGAAAUGCUUAGAUAUCCUGAGGAACACCAAUGGCGAAAGCAGCUUUCUGGCAUGUGACUGACGCUGAGGCUCGAAAGCGUGGGGAGCGAACGGGAUUAGAUACCCCGGUAGUCCACGCCGUAAACGUUGUGCACUAGGUGUGGGAGGUAUCGACCCCUUCUGUGCCGUAGCUAACGCAUUAAGUGCACCGCCUGGGGAGUACGCUCGCAAGAGUGAA